ensembl:lncRNA
GCAAAGAUGGCGGCGUCCAAAACUGCAAAGUCUGAUCACAUCUGACACGACGGAAGUUCAAUCGAGACGCGACUGAUGCUCGCGCCCCCUGGUUUAGACAGUUUGCAAGAAUGUUUAGCGUCCGUGGUAUGAAAAUGAUCGCUGCAAGACUCUGGCAGAGUGAACGAGGUUUGAGAGAGUCGUGAGCAAAAGGCGCGGGCGCAGCCUCCGUGUUGCCAGAUCCAGCUGUUAUAAACCAGGCAUUAAUGAGUUAGUGCUCAGGCACCUCAUGAAAUCUCAGCAUUAAUGCUGCUCUGCAGUGGCACAACCCCGCAAACAUCAGGACACAUGUAACUCCACUGUCGCCUCUUUGAAGCAGCGAUGAAUGUCGCCAUGGGCAACCGAGACCAUACACACUGCCUCUCUCUUAAGGGCUGCAGACUUCUGAAAAUCAGCCUUUCUAAACAUGUCACUAAUUUUUAUCUCAGACAGAGAGGUCCAUUUGUUACAUAGUGAGCCUUCAACAAUAACCAACCUUCCACUUAGUAGACCUUGUUUUCUCUUACUCUCUAUUUAACCCUGGUGUGUUUUGUACAGUGUGUGUUUAGUGGACGACAGCUGACUGGAUUCAUUUGAGUCCUUCAUGCAUUAGAGUCUUGGAACAGCCAUUUUUGCUUUUUUCUUUUCAUUUCUCCAGCCCACCACAUCUUAUAAGCUUUCAGUGCGCAAACCACUUCUUUAGUUUAGUUUCUACACUGUGUAGAAGACUUGCAAGUGUUAGAGGAAGGGAUUUUCUUUUUUAGUUUUCGUUGCAGAAGACGGAGAUUUUGCAUGAAAUAAAAGAUGCACUUUUUAAUUCCUAAAGUGGACAGUUUCUGCAAGAUCUUAAAUGGUCAAAAAAACACAUAAAAGUGCAUUGUACAAAAGUAAAUAAAAUCUACAAGUACGUUAAAUGCACGUUAGAGCAAGCUCUUGUGGAGCGUUUCAUGAAUAGGAAUAUCUAACAUUUGUUUUGAGAGUGUAGAGAUUGCCAAAUCAGUUUGAAAUACAGCAAGUUAUAUUUCUGAACAGUUGCCAUUGGCU